GUUGUAGUGAGCUGAUGUGCUCGGAUUCAGGGUUGGUGGCUUUAAGGAGCACUUCAAGUUCUAACUCUUAUUUUUUUUUAUCAAUUAUUCACUGUUCAUUGAGAAAAAGGCCCAAGGCCCAACCCUGCCAAUGGGGGAAAAUACAAUAACGGACCAAUUACCACUUGGGCUACAAGACUCCAGUAAAGGACUAAGUCUGGUAUGCACAAGUCCACUACAGUCAAAGAUGAAAACCAAUAAACAAAGGGACGAGAGGUUAAAAGUUUGAAGUUGAACUGACAACACCACCCACUGGCAGGGAAAAAGACGUUAAUUCACGUGGUGGGUAGUUCAAAGCAUAAUAAUAAUGUAACUAACCAAAAUAAAUGGCCUUUCCAUAUACCAAAACACACUCACACAAUCUUCAAGGCCAUGACUUUGUGUUCUUCUUCUGUCCCUUUUCUAUCUACCACAAGCAACCAUAUUCUUCUCUCAGCAGUGCUCCAAUUUCUCUUCUCCUACCAAAACUUUGAUGCCUUACAUCACAUGGCUGCUUGAUUUCCUUGCAUUUUCAAGACCCUCUCCUUGAUGGGAUACAUCUUGCAUCUUGAACCAGAGCUCGAGCUAGUGGAAUAGGAGGCUUGAACAUUCAGUCAGAGGGAAGAUUGUUUCAGUGAUGCAUUUGUGCAACCAGAUGAGCAGGAUGAUUGCAUGUCAUGGGAGUCCAACGAAAGGUGCAGACUAGAAAUUGACAAUCAGAUUCAAUCACAAUCCUAUUCCAUCCCAUGUUUGCAAGACAGUGCCCUCCUUUACCGCUAAAGCUACUGCAAUAACAAGGGAGGGUGCAAAGUUCCUUGUUGCAGUUUCCAUUACCAAUUGCCCCCAUUGGUCUAUGAUGACAACCCCUAGACUGCAGAUGGGAUUUGUAGCUUCAAAGGCAGCGUCAACAUUGAUUUUCAGUAAGCCAGGAUGCGAAGAUUUCCAUGCAGUAUCUCUUUCAGUCCUUGGUUCUGAUUCUGAUUCAAAGACAUAUCCAUCAGAAGAUAAAGACCAAAGAGUAACCAGUGAAACGCUUCUACAAUCACUACGUUCUUCUGAACGGUAGUAAAUGCUUCAGAUGUUCUGAAGAUUAAAGCUCUGAUGUGGGCUCUGAAGAUUCAAGUGCUGAAGAUUUUGAAGACCAGAAGUUCUGAGCGAACGGUCCAGAAGCUGAAGACUUGAAGAUUCUGAAGUCCAGGAGAAAGCUGGCUCUCAAGACCAAAGUGCUUCUGAUUCUGAAGACCAGAAGUUCCGAGUGAACGGUCCAGAUGUAGAAGUUAUGAAGGUCAGAGGAUCCAAGCUUCUUCGUGACUCUGAUCAAGUUGCUUCACAGGUUUCAACAUGAAGCGUCUCCAAGAUCAGAAGUCAACUAGGAUAAGGCAAAUGUCAUUGUCAAUAGUACAAAAGUAGUGUACUAUUCUGGCUCUUUACCUAACGAGGUUCAGCCACAUCAGGUUCUGGAAUUUCCAGAAUUUCCCUCCAACGGUUAGAUUCCUUUAACGGAUACAACACUUUCACCUUAGAGUAUUUAAAGGCUGAUGAGAGAAGAAAUUGGCUAAGAAACUAUUGUGCAAUUCAAGUGAAACUUACUAGCGAAUACCUUAGCAAUAUUUUUUCACUGUUCUUAUUGUGUUUACUCAUGCUUUUCUAGAAGCAACUCUUUGUAAACUCAAACCUUUCACAAAUAUGUUUGUAUUUCCUUAAGGGACCGAGUAUGUCAGAUUCCUUGAGAAGACUAAGACUUGUGUGUCUUAGUGUUGCUAGUUCUUAGAUUUGUUAGUCACUGAGCAAGGUGUGCUAGUGCAGUUGUAACAAUCUUUGAUUAGUGGAUUACCUUCAUUCUACGAAGGAAGAAAUCACCUUAACGGGUGGGUUGAAUUAGCUUGAGUGAUUUAUCAAGUGAACCAAGAUAAAACAUUUUUGUGC